rnacentral:lncRNA from 1 species
UUUUAUUGUACCACUGAAUGUAUUUUUUUUACUUUUCUGUUGAUAGCCACGUGGUUAAAUAUUCUGCAUUCAUAAUUGCCCCUAUCAGAGCUUUGGAAAGAUCUAUUCAUAUCAAUAUUUAAGUUCAGGAAAAAUCAAAACAUAAUGUCAUAUUCAAGUUUACCACUGACCGAUCUAUUUACUUUGGUCGACACACGUGAUUUGUAUUUGUAUCUUUUUAUUAGUCAAAUAAGACGUACACGAAAUUUCAACCCUUCCAUGUAUUACAUUCAAAUACUUGUAAUACGAUUUCCCUAACCUGGAGUCUGGACUAAGCAAACAUACAAACUAUUAGUCCCAUGCAUACAGCUACGUUGUUUCUUGAAGGAGCGUAGCUGUCGUUAGUCACGUAAGGCACGUGUCUACACAAAUUUUUUUCAAAAAAAUAUAAAAAAAAUGAAAAAGUAAACAACGUAAUCUGUAGAUGCUCGCCAUUCGAGAAGUCGUCAAAAUUCUUUUAAAAUUAUCAAAUGUCAUGUGUACACUAGUAUAUCAUCCCUAGUGAAUGGAGUAUUGGAUAUAAUUGAAUGGCAUCAUUUCCCCCUUUUAUAUAGAAAAUAUAACUAGAACUUUGGUUCAGAUCAUUUCGUUUCUAUCAACAAAUACUAGAAUAAACCUCAACUUAGACACAAAAGUCAUGAUUUUUGUCAAUUUUAUUUAGUUGUAGCUGGCUUUCAACUGGCCCGAGAACACAGUUAUUUCGUAGUGCAUUUCUUUUAGACAAUAAAUUCAAAUUAAAAAAUCGCACCUGCUCUUUCUCAAAAAGAUAUUACAGUGUUAUGUACCAUUAGUGGGACAAAUAAUAUCAAAAUUAUAGACACUUCUACCAGCUCUAACUCAAAGUAUUGACAACUCUGUGAAAAGGGGUUCUAAAAUUCAGUUUGACAUCUUCAGACGUACUAAAAAUAUACAUUUUUUAACUGAACCAAAUCACUACUUAACACAAAGAUUCAGCA